GAUGAACGCUAGCUACAGGCUUAACACAUGCAAGUCGAGGGGCAACAUGGUUUAGGCUUGCUACGUCUGAUGGCGACCGGCGCACGGGGGAGAAAAACGUAUCCCCACCGCCGUCUACUCUUGGGCAGCACUCUGCAAGGAAGAGUAAAAUAAGUUGGCAUCAUGAGUCCGCGUGUUCACAGGAUAAAAGGUAUUCCGGUGGAAGAUGGGGAUGCGUUCCAUUAGAUAGUUGGCGGGGUAACGGCCCACCAAGUCGUCGAUGGAUAGGGGUUCUGAGAGGAAGGUCCCCCACAUUGGAACUGAGACACGGUCCAAACUCCUACGGGAGGCAGCAGUGAGGAAUAUUGGUCAAUGGGCGCAGGCCUGAACCAGCCAAGUAGCGUGAAGGAUGACUGCCCUAUGGGUUGUAAACUUCUUUUGUAAGGGGAUAAAGUCGGGUACGUGUAACUGUUUGCAGGUACCAUACGAAUAAGGACCGGCUAAUUCCGUG
rnacentral:rRNA from 1 species